rnacentral:rRNA from 1 species
GCCCUACGGGGUGCAGCAGGCGCGAAAACUUUACAAUGCUGGCAACAGCGAUAAGGGAACCUCGAGUGCCAGGUUACAAAUCUGGCUGUCGAGAUGCCUAAAAAGCAUUUCAUAGCAAGGGCCGGGCAAGACCGGUGCCAGCCGCCGCGGUAACACCGGCGGCUCGAGUGGUAACCGUUAUUAUUGGGUCUAAAGGGUCUGUAGCCGGCCGGAUAAGUCUCUUGAGAAAUCUGGCAGCUUAACUGUCAGGCUUUCAGGAGAUACUGUCUGGCUCGAGGCCGGGAGAGGUGAGAGGUACUUCAGGGGUAGGGGUGAAAUCUUGUAAUCCUUGAAGGACCACCAGUGGCGAAGGCGUCUCACCAGAACGGACCUGACGGCAAGGGACGAAAGCUAGGGGCACGAACCGGAUUAGAUACCCGGGUAGUCCUAGCCGUAAACGAUACUCGCUAGGUGUCGGCCACGGUGCGACCGUUGUCGGUGCCGUAGGGAAGCCGUGAAGCGAGCCACCUGGGAAGUACGGCCGCAAGGCUGAAACUUAAAGGAAUUGGCGGGGGAGCACCACAACGGGUGGAGCUUGCGGUUUAACUGGAUUCAACGCCGGAAAUCUUAC